rnacentral:rRNA from 1 species
UGGGGAAUUUUGGACAAUGGGCGCAAGCCUGAUCCAGCAAUGCCGCGUGCAGGAUGAAGGCCUUCGGGUUGUAAAAUCCUGUCCUAAGGGAAGAAACAAAUGACGGUACCUUAGGAGGAAGCCCCGGCAAACUACGUGCCAGCAGCCGCGGUAAUACGUAGGGGGCAAGCGUUAUCCGGAAUCACUGGGCGUAAAGGGUGCGUAGGCGGCAAAGCAAGCCAGAGGUGAAAGGCAUUGGCUCAACCAAUGUAAGCCUUUGGAACUGCUUAGCUUGAGUGCAGGAGAGGUAAGUGGAAUUCCUAGUGUAGCGGUGAAAUGCGUAGAUAUUAGGAGGAACACCAGUGGCGAAGGCGACUUACUGGACUGUAACUGACGCUGAGGCACGAAAGCGUGGGGAGCGAACA